GGCGCUAUAGCCAAGUGGUUACGGCGACAGAUUAGAAUCACUUGGCUCUAAUAUCUGUUCCUCUUUGAGGGCGCAGGUUCGAAUCCUGCUGGCGUCG